rnacentral:rRNA from 1 species
CUACCUGGAAUGGAAUCCAGGGGCAAGCACAGGAGGGGUACGGCUGGAAGAACCGCCGUGCAACCCAAAGGUGUGACGCAUACCGAACUAAAGUAGGGAAAUGUGUGAGCCGGCUGCCGAGAAAAGCCGCUAUUGUUUGUACUGUACCCGUACCGUAAACCGACACAGGUGGAUGAGGAGAGAAUCCUAAGGCCGACGGAAGAAGCAUUGCUAAGGAACUCGGCAAAAUGACCCUGUAACUUCGGGAGAAAGGGUGCCUCGAAAGAGGCCGCAGAGAAUAGGCCCAAGCAACUGUUUAGCAAAAACACAGGUCUAUGCAAAACCGCAAGGUGAAGUAUAUGGGCUGACGCCUGCCCGGUGCUGGAAGGUUAAGGGGAGAUGUCAGGAGACGAAGCAUCGAACUUAAGCCCCAGUAAACGGCGGCCGUAACGAUAACGGUCCUAAGGUAGCGAAAUGCCUUGUCGGGUAAGUUCCGACCCGCACGAAAGGCGUAAUGAUUUGGGCGCUGUCUCGGCAAUGCAUCCGGUGAAAUUGAAGUGCCAGUGAAGAUGCUGGCUACCCGCGCCAGGACGGAAAGACCCCAUGGAGCUUUACUCCAGCUUGAUACUGGGAUUCGGUAUUGUAUGUACAGGAUAGGUGGGAGGCCGAGAAAUGGUGACGCCAGUCGCCAUGGAGCCGCUGCUGGGAUACCACCCUUGCAGUACUGGAUUUCUAACCAGCAGCCGUGAUCCGGCUGGGGGACAAUGUCAGGUGGGGAGUUUGACUGGGGCGGUCGCCUCCGAAAGGGUAUCGGAGGCGCUCAAAGGUUCCCUCAGAAUGGUCGGAAACCAUUCGAAGAGUGCAAAGGCAGAAGGGAGCUUGACUGCGACACCGACGGGUGGGGCAGGUACGAAAGUAGGACUUAGUGAUCCGGUGGUAUUAAGUGGGAAUGCCAUCGCUCAACGGAUAAAAGCUACCCUGGGAUAACAGGCUUAUCACUCCCAAGAGUUCACAUCGACGGAGUGGUUUGGCACCUCGAUGUCGGCUCAUCGCAUCCUGGGGCUGUAGUAGGUCCCAAGGGUUGGGCUGUUCGCCCAUUAAAGCGGUACGCGAGCUGGGUUCAGAACGUCGUGAGACAGUUCGGUCCCUAUCCGGCGUGGGCGUAGGAUAUUUGAGAGGAGCUGACCUUAGUACGAGAGGACCGGGUUGGACUGACCUCUGGUGCACCGGUUGUCAUGCCAAUGGCACAGCCGGGUAGCCAAGUCGGGAAGGGAUAAACGCUGAAGGCAUCUAAGCGUGAAGCCCCCCUCAAGAUGAGGUAUCCCCCGCAUAAGCGGUAAGACCCCUUGAAGACGACGAGGUAGAUAGGGCAGAGGUGGAAGUGCAGUAAUGUAUGGAGCUGACUGCUACUAAUAGGUCGAAGGCUUAGC